UACGUAGGGUGCGAGCGUUGUCCGGAAUUAUUGGGCGUAAAGAGCUCGUAGGCGGUUCAGUAAGUCGGGUGUGAAAACUCUGGGCUUAACCCAGAGACGCCACCCGAUACUGCUGUGACUUGAGUACGGUAGGGGAGCAGGGAAUUCCUGGUGUAGCGGUGAAAUGCGCAGAUAUCAGGAGGAACACCGGUGGCGAAGGCGCUGCUCUGGGCCGAAACUGACGCUGAGGAGCGAAAGCGUGGGGAGCGAACAGG
rnacentral:rRNA from 1 species